AUAUCAAUCCAUCAGGGACUCAAUUUCUGGGUGCCACCCCAAGAGGCAGUGGUUAGCUGGCCCUUAGAUCACACUCACAGAGCACAGAAGGGUUUGAAUUGAUCCCUAACACAGCAUUUAUCCUUUAACUUAAUUCAAAUUUGGCUCAUCAUGCUUUUUAAAAAAAUCAUUUACGCAAAGUGCAAACAGCACAAGGUAGAGAAAACAGUGGGAUUAAGAGACAAGUGACCCAGUGAGAAAGUUCAUUGACAUCUGUGACUUGCCAGUUUGGAAUAUAUUUACAACACGUAUCAAUGAAUUAUGCAAAUCAUGAAUAAUAAAGGACUGUGGAGUUAUUCUUUU
rnacentral:lncRNA from 1 species